GACGAACGCUGGCGGCGUGCUUAACACAUGCAAGUCGAACGGAAAGGCCCUGCUUUUGUGGGGUGCUCGAGUGGCGAACGGGUGAGUAACACGUGAGUAACCUGCCCUUGACUUUGGGAUAACUUCAGGAAACUGGGGCUAAUACCGGAUAGGAGCUCCUGCUGCAUGGUGGGGGUUGGAAAGUUUCGGCGGUUGGGGAUGGACUCGCGGCUUAUCAGCUUGUUGGUGGGGUAGUGGCUUACCAAGGCUUUGACGGGUAGCCGGCCUGAGAGGGUGACCGGCCACAUUGGGACUGAGAUACGGCCCAGACUUCUACGGGAGGCAGCAGUGGGGAAUAUUGCACAAUGGGCGGAAGCCUGAUGCAGCAACGCCGCGUGCGGGAUGACGGCCUUCGGGUUGUAAACCGCUUUCGCCUGUGACGAAGCGUGAGUGACGGUAAUGGGUAAAGAAGCACCGGCUAACUACGUG
rnacentral:rRNA from 1 species